AAGGCAAGUCCGUUUGUCGCUGUUUCGUGUAAACGGAAGAGAGGAAAGUCCGGGCAGCAUAGAGCAUCGUACUUCCUAACGGGAAGGUCUCGCAUUUGCGGGAACAGAUAGUGCCACAGAAAAUAGGUAGCCUCGUCAUGUAUAUGUUGAGGUCAUAGUGAAAAGGUGAGGUAAGAGCUCACCGCUCUGGUGGCGACAUUCGGGGGCACGGUAAACCUUACGAGCUGAAAGACCAUGUAAACCGAGGCUUGAGGACUGCUCGUCUAACUCGGAGGGUAGGUUGAUUGAUCCUGAUGGUGACAUCAGGGCUAGAUAAAUGACAAACUGCUAUGAAAAUAGUACACAGAACCCGGCUUAUGGUUUGCCUUUUUU
rnacentral:RNase_P_RNA from 1 species